rnacentral:rRNA from 1 species
UGGGGAAUAUUGCACAAUGGGCGAAAGCCUGAUGCAGCGACGCCGCGUGAGGGAUGACGGCCUUCGGGUUGUAAACCUCUUUCAGCAGGGAAGAAGCGAAAGUGACGGUACCUGCAGAAGAAGCACCGGCUAACUACGUGCCAGCAGCCGCGGUAAUACGUAGGGUGCGAGCGUUGUCCGGAAUUAGUGGGCGUAAAGAGCUUGUAGGUGGCUUGUCGCGUCUGCGGUGAAAACCCAAGGCUUAACCUUGGGCUUGCCGUGGGUACGGGCUGGCUAGAGUGUGGUAGGGGAGACUUGAAUUCCUGUUGUAGCGGUGAAAUGCGCAGAUAUCAGGAGGAACACCGAUGGCGAAGGCAGGUCUCUGGGCCAUAACUGACACUGAGAAGCGAAAGCAUGGGGAGCGAACA